CUUUCCCCUACAGAGAGAGAAGGAAAAAGAAAGUAUACGAGUUGUUGCUCCACCAAAGGAGAGGACGUAUCAUUUGGAAGGUGAGGAGAAGGAGAGCCACCAGCUAGCUGCAGAGCUCUUCCUCUAUCGCCCGCCAGCGGAGAAGGCUGAAGGACAUGUCUCAGCUAGUGAAGAAAUGCAAUAAGGAGAGACUGACAGAGGACGAUGUAAAAACCUUGGAUGAAAUCAAGGAGCACAUUAAAGCAAGACCCAACACUUUUUGAAACGGAGGCUUUCCUUCCAAAGAAAAAUGCGUAUGAGUGUCACUACAUUAAAAACAUUAUUUCACAGGUCUUAGAGGAGGGACAUUUGAAAGAGUUGUUGGCUGUUUUCCUAUUCUGAUGAUUUAUAU